rnacentral:tRNA from 1 species
GGGGCAACAGCGCGGCGAGCCUUACCAGAUAAGCAAGACAGGCAUUCUGUAAUGUCUGCUUUGGGAUCAGAGGGUCGAAGGUUCGAAUCCUUUCGCUCCG